rnacentral:misc_RNA from 1 species
AAGGAUCAUUACCGAAUUGUCAACACGAGUUGUUGCUGGUCCUCAAAACGGGGGCAUGUGCACGCUCUGUUUACACAUCCACUCACACCUGUGCACCCUCUGUAGUUCUGUGGCAUAGGGGACUCUGUCCUCCUGUCGUGGUUCUACGUCUUUACACACACACUGUAACGAAGUCUCAUGGAAUGUAUGCCGCGUUUAACGCAAUACAAUACAACUUUCAGCAACGGAUCUCUUGGCUCUC